AAGCUCCGUGGUGAAGAAACAUGUUGGAUUGCAAAUCCAGAGACGUAGAUUAAUAGUCUGCCGGGGCU
rnacentral:tRNA from 1 species